GGUUGGGCCUCUUGCAAGACGAGCCAAUGAACCCCGCCAGGACCGGAAGGUAGCAACGGUAGUUAGGAUAUCUUCAUGUGCGAGAGUGUCCUGGCCGUG
rnacentral:SRP_RNA from 1 species